UACAGAGGUCCCAAGCGUUGUUCGGAUUCACUGGGCGUAAAGGGUGCGUAGGUGGUCGGAUAAGUUUGAUGUGAAAUCUCCGGGCUUAACCCGGAAACUGCAUUGAAUACUAUUUGGCUAGAGGGUUGGAGGGGGGACUGGAAUACUUGGUGUAGCAGUGAAAUGCGUAGAUAUCAAGUGGAACACCAGUGGCGAAGGCGAGUCCCUGGACAACUCCUGACACUGAGGCACGAAAGCUAGGGGAGCAAACAGG
rnacentral:rRNA from 1 species